GGGUGAUUAAUGAAGGUCAUGAUGACCAUAGUGUGGGUGGUGGUAUUGGCCGGGAUGCGAAUAUUGAUAACAUUUCAGGAUCUCAACAUGGUGGUUGCUCAGGUGUUAAUGACGAACAACAAGUUCAUGAUGGGGGUGUGGAUGGUCGUUUGGAUAUGGUCUACGCGCAAAUGAGGGGGUUCAAUUAAAUGUUGGGGCCCUGACCGAAGAACGUUUGGUGGACGUUGUUCUUGUAGUUGCUGGAGUGUGGGGAGUGGUUUGUGGGCCCUUCAUGGUAGGGUGUUGGUUUUAGUGACAUUGUAGAUGGUCGGUCGUUCGUUACACCAACGGAGAUUGUUCCUCGUGUGGGUUCCACAUUUGUUUGUCUUGCUCCACGCAAGGCAAAUAGACCAGCUCGUACUGUUUUGGGGUCAGUUCGUCGUAGUGGUGUCCACUCUAUUGCUUCCGUGCCUUCACUCAAUUUAUUGGAUGAUGUCAACUUUUUCAAGUGGGAGCUCAAGUAUGGGAGUGAUGAUUUGCAUGAGUUUUUAUUCUCUUACAGUGGUCAGACUGUUAGUCGUGAUGAUAUAUGUUCUUUGGCACCUGGGACGGAGGUUUCUGUGGUGUGAUUAUUGCUGGGUCCUGUAUAUUAACUUGUAGAGAACAUACCAAGGAUCCAUCAAAACCAACUAGGGUGUUUGCCUCUCCGUCCACUACAUAUGGUUAUUUGAACACUACUGUGUUGUUCAAAAAAAUAGACAAGCUGAAGUUGGCUAGGUUUUCGGAGGCUUUGGGGGCUGAUUUUGCACUUGGUCCUUAUAAAACAUGGGGUCAUGUUCAUCUUCUUUUCUUUCCCAUCCUUCAACAAAAUCAUUUCUACCUCUUGUGUGUCGACUUCAAAUUCAAGCAGUUUGAAAUUAUUGAUAAUUCAGCUUCAACUCAGCCCACUCCGGUGAAGUAUGGUGAUACCCCAUAAAAUGUGAAACUGUUGUUGUCCGAAUAUUUCACAUUUGUUGGUGAGAAGUUCAAGUCAAUUGUUUGUGACAAUUUGAAGACUAAAAGGAUGCCGAUGAAGUGGCGGGACACCAAGAACAAAGUGGACUAUGGCAUGUAUCUUAUGUGGCACAUGGAGAGUUAUAUGGGUGAAGCCGUGAAGGUGUUGCAAAAUGGGAUUAUGGGCUGACUAGUGGUGACAGAUCGCAACUUUAGAGGCUACGUUUGCGUUAUAUGAAGGAGCUUUGCACACUUGAUAUAAAUGCACACCGUACUGGCUCGUGCGUUACGCUUUCUUUCCGGACAUUAGUUUCCUUGCUAUUGUUUACUAGUCGUUUACUUUUGGGGGUCGUGCGUUACGCUUUCUUUCCAGACAUUAGUUUCCUUGCUAUUGUUUACUAGUCGUUUACUUUUGGGGGUCGUUGUUGGAUUUUCAUUACUAAUGUUUGCUCACACUUUUGUUCUGUUUUCAACUACUUCAUUUCUAGUGUAACAGAUUUUUUCGUUCACCAACAGUGUUAUAGUUUUAUUAUUAUGCACGUAUUACUUUAGUUGUCACUAUU